CAAAAUUGGACUUUGUUUGUCAGGAUAUCAUCUGCAAGUAUUGGCCUUAUCUAGAGAGGAUCCUCCCAAGUCUUGCAGAUAACAACUCAUUGCAGGGUCUUGCAAAAGAAACCAAGCCUUUCUUGAGCGUCUUCCAUGCCACAGCUCACGACUGGACAUGCCAGGUCAUUUGGGGUGGAAGGUGGCAAGAUGGCUCAGGGGCACAGGCUGGAGAAGAGGCCGAGCAGGCAAACAGCUAUCUGUCACGAGCUUCUUUCACUACGAAAACGAUGGAUAAAUCAGGUAGAGAUGAACAGCUAACUUCCCAUGCACUGUAUUGGAAUAGGAAAAAGAUCACUCAACUGCAUCGGUUUCUUGCUCACAGG